AUGAAUGUUGGACCUAAGUUUUGGGGUCUUGCAUACUGUGUUACACCUUCUCCACUGUCUUUAUCUUUUCUCCUCAGGGCUUCAGAACAGUGCAGAGAUUAUAGUGUCCCUUGUGUCAUAGUCAAGAGGCCAUCGGUGCAGAGGUAUAGAGUGACUCUCUCAAGGUCACCCCACUGUUGGCUCUCACAGGUUUGGGCCCAGACCCUCUGCUUCCAAUGCCAAGUGAUUAAUUUCACUCUCAGUCUUACUCCGAUCGGUAAUGCUUCUGCUGAGACUCCUCAUUCAGUAAAACCUGUUCAGGGGAUCAUCUCUGUUAGACAGACAGCUGCCAAAAAGACCUUCACUUCUGUGAGCAUGGGUUUUAGAUUAUGGCCAGUCAAGACUCAGAGCUGGAAGAACACCUGUCAGAACCGUUUUUCUACAAGAAGAUGGUCUCUUUAAUCACAUUUCAUUCUCCUUCAGAGAAAGGUUCAUUUUAAAAUGUGGCAUUUCUGUUAUGAUUCAUUGUUUUCAGCUGAAACACCAAUUUGGAGCUGAUUUAUGACAUCGUUCUAUGGUGAAACGAGAAACUGCAACAAAGUGUUUAAGAAGGAAGGACUUUCCCAGACAUUUGGUUUGUGGCUUUCUCUUUUAGAAAAAAAUCUAAAGUUUAUUUUGAACUUUUCUUUGUGAAUAUAAUUAAUGAUGGGAAUUCUUCAAGCAAACUUUCAAAAUAUUUAAACUAAAUUGUGAAAACAUGUCAUGGAAUCUGGGGAACUUUCCUGUGUUGAAAUUUGUUACAUUUAUCUUGAACAAUACAAAGUAUUAUUGAUACUGACUGGUGUUUAGAGAAACUAUACUUGACUUUGAACUUAUCUCUAAUUGGCACUGCUAAGUACUUAAAACACAGGUACUUUCUCACAUCUGCAGACUGUAUUGAGUAUAACUAUUAGAAGACAAACUUCAUUUUGCAAACUGUAAUUUAAUGGUAUAACUGUGCAGAGCAGAAUAUCAGUUAAUUUUCAAAACAUUUUAUUCUACACCAAUUAGCUCAGGUCCUGGAGGGCAAAAUGACAAGAGGUUACUCGUUCACUAUGUAUUUAAUUAAUUGAAAAAUGCUCAAAUUGCUUUUACAGUUGUUAUUAAAAAGUAGAAUCAGUGUUGCCAGUGCUCAACCAUAAUUGGAACCCCAGGGAAUUAAAUAUUUAGCAUUAGUAAUGUAACAGCACUUAGGACACAAAUUUCUAUUUUCGUAAUGAAAGCUAUACACUGUGAGUGCAGGCGGCUGAAACGACAGCUGUGACAAGUGAAACGGCCUGGGAUAUUUCAAUAAGACACCUCAUUGGACAGCAAGUCUUACCACAUUACCCGUUUGUAAGAGAUCUGCAAGUUUAAUUCCCAACAGAAACCCGUUACCCAAGUAUUUAGAUUUCUAAUUGCAUGUGGGAUGAACAGUUGGGCAAAUGUCUUGCCAUAAGUGGCUGAAACGUAUAGUGCUUUCUAAAUAAUCCUAUAUAAGUUCAUGCCUUUGUCAAUUUAAAAAGAGCAGGACUGUCAGGGAAUAAAGAUCUUGUUUGUUUUAAGUUUAAUUACAUUUUAAGCAUACAAGCUUUCAGUGCUACAAUGAGAAAAGUUGGAUAUUGGACUCUAAUGAGCUGCAGUGGUAGACGGCUAGAGACCCUAAGGGAUUCACUCCUUAAAUUAACUGGAUAAAAGUACUUGCUUAGGAUAUAGUUGAUGGCUGAGCUGUUCUUAAAACCCAGUUAUAGAGCUGUCUCUCACUCCUGUUUUCAUUCUAAACAGGCCCUGUAGAGAUUUUAACAGCCGCCUGUUACAACUGUUCAACUUGUCAAAAUGUAUUAUAUUACUCCACUAAUAAAUAGUAUUAAAGGGUAUUUGCCUUCAUUUCUUCUUUUCAGAGGGGAUCAGGUUGAUAAACACAACUGGCUUAGGUUGGCCUUAUUUUUAAUUUGUUUAUGUCAUCUAAAGUGAUAUUGAAGGCCCAUGGUUUGAGUUUGAAAACAUUACCUUCCUGGAGACAUAAAACUUAGCAAAAU
rnacentral:lncRNA from 1 species